AGGAUGAACGCUGGCGGCGUGCCUAAUACAUGCAAGUCGAGCGGUAAGGCCCCUUCGGGGGUACACGAGCGGCGGACGGCUGAGUAACACGUAGGAACCUACCCCAAAGUGAGGGAUAAGCACCAGAAAUGGUGUCUAAUACCGCAUGUGCUCUUAGGAGUAAAGCUUCGGCGCUUUGGGAAGGGCCUGCGCAUGAUUAGCUUGUUGGUGAGGUAAAAGCUCACCAAGGCGACGAUCAUUAGCUGGUCUGAGAGGAUGAUCAGCCAGACUGGGACUGAGAACGGCCCAGACUCCUACGGGAGGCAGCAGUAGGGAAUUUUCCACAAUGGGCGAAAGCCUGAUGGAGCAACGCCGCGUGCAGGAUGAAGGCCUUAGGGUUGUAAACUGUCUUUAUAUGUGACGAUUAUGACGGUAGCAUAUGAAUAAGGAUCGGCUAACUCCGCGCCAGCAGCCGCGGUAA
rnacentral:rRNA from 1 species